rnacentral:lncRNA from 1 species
AAAGACGCACACUGAGGCACGCUGUUUGUUUUCACCCUUUUAGCCUUUCUAGCCAUCCAUAAUGUUGUAUUUAUCCGUUGUUAACCAUGUUGAGCAUGUACCCCCUUGUUUGUGUAAACCGUCAUGUUAACCAUAAGCCAAACACGUCCUACCCUCGCUCGGCAUGACUAUUGUAGUGUAAAAUUUGUGCAAAAAGAUAAGUUUAGGGUGGUAAUCCUUAGAAGAAAUGUUGGAAAAUGGGCAAGUGCAAG